rnacentral:rRNA from 1 species
CAUUGCCAGUAUUAGAGGCACUGCCUGCCCAGUGACAUUAGUUAAACGGCCGCGGUAUCCUGACCGUGCAAAGGUAGCAUAAUCAUUUGUUCCUUAAUUAGGGACUUGUAUGAACGGCCCCACGAGGGUUUAACUGUCUCUUACUUUUAAUCAGUGAAAUUGACCUUCCCGUGAAGAGGCGGGAAUACAAAAAUAAGACGAGAAGACCCUAUGGAGCUUAAAUUAAUAUGUUCAACAGAAUUUAAUUAUAAUCCAAUAGGAAUAAAAAUAUUCUAACUGAACAAUAAAUUUUGGUUGGGGUGACCUCGGAGUAUAACAUAACCUCCGAGCAAUUAAACCAAGACUUACCAGUCAAGGCCAUAUAACUUAUUGAUCCAAUCUUAUUGAUCAACGAAACAAGUUACCCUAGGGAUAACAGCGCAAUCCUAUUUAAGAGUUCAUAUCGACAAUAGGGUUUACGACCUCGAUGUUGGAUCAGGACACCCAAAUGGUGCAGCAGCUAUUAAAGGUUCGUUUGUUCAACG